UGGGGCGUUGCAAGAAAGUUACGUUGCAAUUGAUUGCAAAUCGACUGCAACUUUGCAGCCGAUUCCGAUCGACUGCAACUAGCAAUCAAUCGCCAAUUUGCGUUGCAAGAAAAAGGCUUGCGAUUGAACGCAAGUUGCAGCUGAUCUGCAGACGAUUUGCAGCUGUAAACAGGGUCUGCAGCACAAGACUAGCCGAAAAAGCAAAAUAAUGGCUUGCAACAAUCCUGUUUGUGGAAGAGAUUAUGACAAAGAAGUCUGGAACCUCAGAACCACCAUAACUGUGUCUGCUACAAUGUGUGUUCUUGCAACCAGCUGAUUGAUUCAUUUUAUCAACUCUUGAAUGGUUGAUUAUCAGAACUGAAUUCAGAGCUGCUCCUGUCUGUAGUAACAUCAUUAUAAGAGUGGACUUCAGAAUGAGGGCGUUGCUUGUUUAAAAACUUCACUCCAUGGAGCUCUCAAAAUUUAUCUCAAAUUAGACUGCUUCUGGAAACCAGAUUUGUUCCUUCAAGCAGAGACGAUUGUGGCUUUCCUGACUGGACUUCUAUGGAUUCUUCAUGCCAACCUUAAUGACUGUGGUCUUCUGCAUGAGACACAUCGAUUUCAAACAAGACAUUCUGUGGUGAAACACUUGAUGAAGAUGAUAUGAAAUUUUUAUUUCAUAUAACUGAAUCUCAGAAGUAAUUCCUCGAGAGCAAGAAACAUUGAAAAAUGAAAAUAAAAGGUCCAUCAAUAAUGAAUGUCUUGAGCAGUGUUCUUUUUUGUGCACAGAUCAAUGGAUCUUUUCAAGUCCAAGCAGGGAUGUAGUCAAUGCUGACCUCGAGGCAACAUUUUGCUGGCCUUGGUCCGAGUCACUGUACAGAAUCUAUGGGAAGUUCUCUCAAGCUGCCUCAUGACUCGGAAGAAUCAGCCUCGACCUCAUCCCUGUAUGCAAGUGUGAUAUAUAUCUACGAUGCAAUCUCAUGAUUAAAGAGAGAAAAACAAGAGAGCUUCAGAUUUUGAAGUGUAGCAAUCUCCUGAAAUGUAUGUUUUAUUUGAAAAUCAAACUAAAAUAACUUAAUUGGGCAUGUUAUUCAUUAUGAUAUGUAUGAAUGAAAGCAAAACAUAUUCUGAGUUGUAUUUACUGCAAACGCUCAGAAAUAUUGAUAAGCAUUUGCCAGUGCAUGAAGUGUUUUUAAUAAAGAGUGGCUUUUGUGCCUAUGGAGAGUUAUUAUUUCUUCAACAUUUCUUCAUACAAAUUAUUUCAGAAAUCACAAUUUGAAUAUUCCAUGACCUCUGAUAACAAGAGCAGAAUAUUUUUGGUUAUUGACACACUUUAAAAUGAUAUUAGGAGAGAAUGUACUGAAAUUGUGUGAAAAUAAUGGCAUAAUUGCUGAAGAGGCCUAUAAAGAUUGAAAAUAACAUUAUUUCAAGUUUUUCUUGAAAAAAACCCAUGGAAAAUUGAAAAUGGCAUAAUUUACACAAGUUUUCAAAACAAAAUACAAAAAAAAAAUUUUUUGCAGAAUUUUUAGUACACAAGCCUAUGGACAAUCAAUUGAACGUAAAUCGAACGCAAAUUUUGCGCAUCCUCCAAAAUCUUACAUAAGUUACGUUCGAUUUGCAAUCAAUUGCAAAGCUUGCGCUUGAUCUACGUUCAAUUGAUCAAACGCAACUUCUUCUUGCAACAGGAUUGAACGUAACUUGCGUUCAAUUGCAGAUUUGCGUUUAAUCGGAGGACUUACGCUCAAUUUUGGGAGUUGCGUUCGAUUUGCGUUCAAUCGCAAGUUUCUUGCAACACCCCAUAAGUCGACUAAUAGUAGAAUCAUGAGGUGGGCUUUAUCUCUCCAACCUUACAGGUUCCAUAUUGAAGCUAUACCAGGUUCGGAGAAUGUUGGCGCGGAUUUUCUCAGCAGGGCAGUUUGAGUUUAAAUUAAGUUUAAGUAAAGCAAGAGAGCUUAGAUUUAUUUCUAUGUCAAUCCACUUUUGGGGAUAGAUUGAAUAUUUAAUGUAAAUAUGAAAUAUUUUCUUAAGGAGGGGGUGAUGUUAGAGAUUCAACCUUCCCCCUCAAGUGUAUUCUUAAUCCUUUGUAUUAUGUAAUGCACAAUAGUGCUCUGGAGUGAAUAGUGAGUAGUUAGGCUCAGUGGUUAGGCUCCAUCGCACUUAAUUGUAAUUAACAUACUCAGCAUUUUUGAACUGGGUGGGUUGCCUGUUUUAGCAGGAGUACCUCACUAUCUGCACAGCUUUCACACAGGCAGGACCUAUUGGUCCUUGGGUCCAGUUGGGUGAUUGGAAAUGGAGAGUUAGAGUUUUAAGCCAAACACUUGCGCUGCAAUAAAACUAUAUUCCAGAGUCAAGAUUCACUAAACCAACAUGGAGGCCUGUUCCUGAUUUCCUGCAUUUAGUCAUCCCAGUCAAACUAUGGGUUCUUCUUCAUCUACCUGGGAGUUCACCAAGUGGUUCUUCAGAAGUAAAGAAGUCUGGCAGCUCAUUUUCAGCCAUUGACCAGACCAGUCAAGAGUAGGAGUAAAGGUUUAUUAGAGGGCACCCACCAAGAACGGACAGCACCCUCGCUGACAAGAUCUGAUGAUGGUCGUUUAUCAUCGCUCGUUUUAAUCAUUCGUUACUCCUCAUGAAUUUUUAGCAGGAAGCAACAGUUGAUUAAAGUGGGUUAUUUUAUUUAUACCCUCCAGAGACUUAAAGCAUUGUUUUGUAACCAUAUAUAUACUAUUGUGUAACUUCCUUCGAGUUGAAUAUAUUUUUGUUAUUAUUGUUUAUCUUCUGUUUAUUCUGGUCCACCAAAACCAGAAGAUUGAAUUUAAAUGUUGGAAGUUGAAGCCGGAAAACGAGUAAUAAAACUAAACAUAUUUUAUUUGUUGAACUAAAUAAUAAUUGUCUUCCAUGGUCAUUUAUUUAGUUUUACAGUAGUGAGUUGAGAGAGUCACCAUUCGACACAAGUUAUGUCCAUUUGAAUUUAUUCAGGUG